GACGGAGGGUGCUAGCGUUGUUCGGAAUCACUGGGCGUAAAGGGCGCGUAGGCGGCGCAGCGUGUCGGCUUUGUGAAAGCCCGGGGCUCAACCCCGGAGGUGCGGCCGAAACUGCUGUGCUGGAGGCCGGAAGAGGAGGGUGGAAUACCCAGUGUAGAGGUGAAAUUCGUAGAUAUCAGGAGGAACACCAGUGGCGAAGGCGGCUUUCUGGACGGUAACUGACGCUGAGACGCGAAAGCGUGGGGAGCAAACAGG
rnacentral:rRNA from 1 species